rfam:Picea glauca, whole genome shotgun sequence.
GGUCCCAUAGUCUAGUUGUUAGGACUCUAGACUUUGAAUCCAGGAACCUGAGUUCAAAUCUUGGUGGGGCAU